GAAAUGCGAUAAGUAGUGUGAAUUGCAGAAUUUAGUGAAUCAUCGAAUCUUUGAACGCACAUUGCGCCCUUUGGUAUUCCUUAGGGCAUGCCUGUUCGAGCGUCAUCUACACCCUCAAGCACAGCUUGGUGAUGGGCGCCUGUCCCGCCCCCCACGGGGGCGCGGACUCGCCUCAAAUGCAUUGGCGGCCGGCGACCUGGCUUCGAGCGCAGCAGAAACGCGUACUCGGGGACCGGGCGCCCGCUCCCAGAAGCCAACCCACCCAGUUUGACCUCGGAUCAGGUAGGGAUACCCGCUGAACUUAA
rnacentral:misc_RNA from 1 species